CAGUGCACAGCUAAAAAAAUCCAAAAAACAAAUGUUUCUAUGGUCGUAAAAAAGAAUGCUGCUUAUCCUUUUCAGGAGAAAUUGAUGAGUGGUUGAAUCGAUGAUCUGCACUGAGCUGUUAACAAUCAUUUGUGCCGCGGAAUACGUUAAGGUGGCAUCUUCUCUGAGUGUCGAUGCACUCAUUGU